UACGGAGGGUGCGAGCGUUAUCCGGAUUUAUUGGGUUUAAAGGGUCCGUAGGUGGACUAGUAAGUCAGUGGUGAAAGCCUAUCGCUUAACGAUAGAACUGCCAUUGAUACUGCUAGUCUUGAGUGUUAUUGAAGUAGCUAGAAUAUGUAGUGUAGCGGUGAAAUGCAUAGAUAUUACAUAGAAUACCAAUUGCGAAGGCAGGUUACUAAAUAACAACUGACACUGAUGGACGAAAGCGUGGGGAGCGAACAGG
rnacentral:rRNA from 1 species